rnacentral:rRNA from 1 species
CAGGCUUAACACAUGCAAGUCGAGGGGCAGCAUGGUCUUAGCUUGCUAAGGCCGAUGGCGACCGGCGCACGGGUGAGUAACACGUAUCCAACCUGCCGUCUACUCUUGGACAGCCUUCUGAAAGGAAGAUUAAUACAAGAUGGCAUCAUGAGUCCGCAUGUUCACAUGAUUAAAGGUAUUCCGGUAGACGAUGGGGAUGCGUUCCAUUAGAUAGUAGGCGGGGUAACGGCCCACCUAGUCUUCGAUGGAUAGGGGUUCUGAGAGGAAGGUCCCCCACAUUGGAACUGAGACACGGUCCAAACUCCUACGGGGGGCAGCAGUGAGGAAUAUUGGUCAAUGGGCGAGAGCCUGAACCAGCCAAGUAGCGUGAAGGAUGACUGCCCUAUGGGUUGUAAACUUCUUUUAUAAAGGAAUAAAGUCGGGUAUGGAUACCCGUUUGCAUGUACUUUAUGAAUAAGGAUCGGCUAACUCCGUGCCAGCAGCCGCGGUAAUACGGAGGAUCCGAGCGUUAUCCGGAUUUAUUGGGUUUAAAGGGAGCGUAGAUGGAUGUUUAAGUCAGUUGUGAAAGUUUGCGGCUCAACCGUAAAAUUGCAGUUGAUACUGGAUAUCUUGAGUGCAGUUGAGGCAGGCGGAAUUCGUGGUGUAGCGGUGAAAUGCUUAGAUAUCACGAAGAACUCCGAUUGCGAAGGCAGCCUGCUAAGCUGCAACUGACAUUGAGGCUCGAAAGUGUGGGUAUCAAACAGGAUUAGAUACCCUGGUAGUCCACACGGUAAACGAUGAAUACUCGCUGUUUGCGAUAUACUGCAAGCGGCCAAGCGAAAGCGUUAAGUAUUCCACCUGGGGAGUACGCCGGCAACGGUGAAACUCAAAGGAAUUGACGGGGGCCCGCACAAGCGGAGGAACAUGUGGUUUAAUUCGAUGAUACGCGAGGAACCUUACCCGGGCUUAAAUUGCAGAUGAAUUACGGUGAAAGCCGUAAGCCGCAAGGCAUCUGUGAAGGUGCUGCAUGGUUGUCGUCAGCUCGUGCCGUGAGGUGUCGGCUUAAGUGCCAUAACGAGCGCAACCCUUGUUGUCAGUUACUAACAGGUUCCGCUGAGGACUCUGACAAGACUGCCAUCGUAAGAUGUGAGGAAGGUGGGGAUGACGUCAAAUCAGCACGGCCCUUACGUCCGGGGCUACACACGUGUUACAAUGGGGGGUACAGAGGGCCGCUACCACGCGAGUGGAUGCCAAUCCCCAAAACCUCUCUCAGUUCGGACUGGAGUCUGCAACCCGACUCCACGAAGCUGGAUUCGCUAGUAAUCGCGCAUCAGCCACGGCGCGGUGAAUACGUUCCCGGGCCUUGUACACACCGCCCGUCAAGCCAUGGGAGCCGGGGGUACCUGAAGUGCGUAACCGCGAGGAGCGCCCUAGGGUAAAACUGGUGACUGGGGCUAAGUC